AAAAAAAAAAAAAAUCCAUACCAAUGUGACACGUUGCUGCAAGAAUUAUUGAAAAAUUGAUAUCGUUCUUGGCACAAUCGAUUGGAGCUGAAUCGAAGGAUGCUAAAUAUAAAAAGAAGUCAGCAGUCGCAUCCUGUUUAUUGUUUAUUAGCCCUCAUCAAUCUGAGUAAAAAGCUUACCCUUUUCAUGCAGUUAAUUAAUUAAAGGAACUUUUCCCAUUUCCAAACUUGCUCAUCGACCGUUACUUGCGAGCCCAUGAGGGAUUUGAAUUAUACUGCAAGUGUCGUACGUGGAAUAAUGAUUGUUAUUAAAGUAUAAUAAAGAAGGGGAGGAGGGAAAGAUUAAUGGCAGCGUUUGAGCUUUUUUUUUUUUUAACGAGGCGACAAGAGGAAGGACUAAAGCUGGGGAGAUUAAUUAACUAAUUGUGGUGGCUUCUUUAAGUAAUAGUUUUGAUAAGAUAAGGUGCAAGUGAUAUGAGUGGAAGAGUAUGGGUGCCAUGAUUUAGUUCGUUGUUUGUGAAAGCUGACUAAUAAUGACAAGUAACCGUACUGGUUGUGUGUUCAUUUGCAUCAGAGAUGGAAUCAUACGUGAGGUUUCAGAAAUGAAGCAGGUAUUAGUAGAGGCUGAGGUUUCAAAAUGUUUUUGACUUGUAUACUUUUUAUAAAUAUUUAAAAUUAUUUUAUAUAAUUACAGAUAAAAAGAUUAUUUGCUUAGUCUUGUAAAUUUAUUAUUUAUAUGUAUAUUUUUUUCGCCGCUAUAUAUCUAAUAGUAGGAAUAAACGAGAUGGUUGAAAUUGAAGUAACUGAAAUAUCUUUAACUUAAUAAAAUAAAUGUAANNNNNNNNNNNNNNNNNNNNNNNNNNNNNNNNNNNNNNNNNNNNNNNNNNNNNNNNNNNNNNNNNNNNNNNNNNNNNNNNNNNNNNNNNNNNNNNNNNNNNNNNNNNNNNNNNNNNNNNNNNNNNNNNNNNNNNNNNNNNNNNNNNNNNNNNNNNNNNNNNNNNNNNNNNNNNNNNNNNNNNNNNNNNNNNNNNNNNNNNNNNNNNNNNNNNNNNNNNNNNNNNNNNNNNNNNNNNNNNNNNNNNNNNNNNNNNNNNNNNNNNNNNNNNNNNNNNNNNNNNNNNNNNNNNNNNNNNNNNNNNNNNNNNNNNNNNNNNNNNNNNNNNNNNNNNNNNNNNNNNNNNNNNNNNNNNNNNNNNNNNNNNNNNNNNNNNNNNNNNNNNNNNNNNNNNNNNNNNNNNNNNNNNNNNNNNNNNNNNNNNNNNNNNNNNNNNNNNNNNNNNNNNNNNNNNNNNNNNNNNNNNNNNNNNNNNNNNNNNNNNNNNNNNNNNNNNNNNNNNNNNNNNNNNNNNNNNNNNNNNNNNNNNNNNNNNNNNNNNNNNAUUGGACUUUUUUUGUUAUUGUCUUUAUUUUAUCUCAUGCUUAAGAUUUAGAGAUUAAUAUUGUAAUAAUGGUUAUUAUAAUUAUUAUAUUUUAAAUAUUAGAUAAUAUCAAAUCAUAUAUUGCAGAAUAAAUAGUAGUUGUUUUAAAGGUCAAUACUAUUCUUAAUGAAAAUCCAUUCCUACAUCAACUCUGUUAUUGAAACCUUAUAAGAAAUUUUAUAGGACAAAGGGUUCUUUUAGAUAUCUCGACAACCAAUGCACCGAAUAUAUGAUGGAUAUUGAAAAAGUUGGUCAGAAUUAACAUUGGAGUGGAAGAGUUUCCAAGAGAAACUUUAGUUUUUAGAAUUUCAAAAAAAAUAAAGAUACUGAAGACCACCUUUUAGAAAGAAUCGAUCAUCGAUCGACAAAAUGAAAGAAACCAUUAUAUCAUCAAUCAACAAAAUGAAAGAAUCCAUUAUCCUUAUAUUUUUUGAUUUUCUAAUCAGCAAGUUUUAAUUGCUUCAGUCUCGCUCCACCAUCAUGAUCUCUAUCUCUUAAAUGGCAAUGCAUUACUCAUAUUAGGAUAGAUUGUUGGGGCAUCCAACCAAGCCCUAAAUGGCAAUGUAUUACUCAUAUGGAAAAGAUUUAUUAUGUGCACACGAAAAGUGUAUCAAACCUUUAGAUGUUGAUUUUAAACUCUCUAAUCAAUCUUUUUAUGAUUGGCAACUAAUCCUCUAAGUUGCAUCAAUCCCCUCAUGCCACAUGGCAAGAAAAUUGUUUAUGUGCAUGUAAUAGAAAUCCUUUAAUAUCACUCAUAUUUAUUUUUCUUUCUUUCAUUCAUCAUAUAUUUAUAAAUGAGGGCCAGAAUUUCAGGUAUUUGAAGUGACAAUCUAGCUUAUGGGACUAGAAUCAAAUGAAUUUGGAGACCUCUAAGUUUUCUUUCAAUUGUGAUAUCAUAUUUUUCCUUUAGCAUAUUUAAGAGAUUCUUAUUUUUUUACUGCCUAGAUUUUAAUCUUGGCCAGAUUCCUUGAUUAAGAUCUUGGUUUGUAUCAAUAUCAGGCACUCCAAUACGGUAUACGCGAACAUCUCAAUCCUAUUAUUGUAUAUUCAUCUGGCCAAAUCUUUCGAUCAAUAGUUUUUAUUUUCUUAAAUAAAUUAUUAACUAACAAAUUAUGAAAUUGAUGUUUAAGUAUAGUUUUUAACCUUGAACUUUUAUCCUAUGAGUCUAGAUUUCGAAAUCACGGUUCAAAAAUAUAGGUGGAUAUCUUGGAAAGUCUCAAUUCCCUCCAAAUUUUUUCAUUAGCCAUGUGAGCCGAGAUAAACUGAGAUAAUUAAUAAUAUGGAGAUUUGAAAACCUUGAGCAGUAGAUUAUCUUAAUUUACCAACUCCAAGAGUAAUUAAUCCAAAGCAUAUUCCUUUUCUUUCCUCCUGAGUUCAAUUCAAUCCAUGAAAUGUCCUUCUCGGCAGGACGAAUGCAUUCAACUCAGCCAUGAUGCAUCCUCCUUGGAAUCCCCCAUUUUAGAGGCACAAAAGAAACAGUGUUUUCCACUUUGAGUCACCUGGGCUUGUCCUUUGCAAUGAUGCGCUACGGAGCGUCAGUCUUUUGCUUUAUUCUCUGGCUCUCCAGCACUAAAUGUUUUUGAACUGUGGAGCAUAUUUUUACGUCCAACUUUGUCUGCUUAUAGCUGGACAGUGAAAGCUGGACAAUGGAAUUCCACGGCAAGCUUACGGCCUCAUGCUUGCAAGGAAGCCAAUUUACUAUGGCUUCAGUUGGAUCAUUCUUCCUCAAUUUGUUGGUUAUCAUUGGAUUUUCUUCCUUACUUUGUUGGAUAUCUUUGGACUGAAAGGUUCAAAGAUGCUGCAGUUCAUAGUAUUUACUGUGAGGGAUGGGUUAAAACAACAUCACGCAUGACCCUCCAGAUUUCCAGGAUAACCCCAAAAGUUCUAGCAACUUUUACCAAUCUACAAACUCUCUCUUGUACACCAAGGUAGAAAAAUAAUGCUCAUCGAUAUGUGAUCUUAAUGAGUCCACUUUAUGGUUAUUCUCUGAUGUUCCCGGAUCGCCACUAAGAUUUCUACUUCGCACCAAUUUCAUCCUAAAAUCCAUUGUUUGGUUGCACUGCGGCUAGAGUAACCCUUCUCCACUGGUCAUUAGAGUGCAAUCUCAAGCCAAGUUCAGACAAAUUCUUCCCAAUGUUGGAGUGAUUUAUCGCCCAUUACAGAGAUGUUGAUGGUUGGACUUUUGAGGAAGCCAGAUCCAGGAGAAAAUCCUACCAUUUGUCAUAGAGUUACAUACCAUGAAGCCUUGAAGUCCUGUCCAUUACCACUUAGCAUGGUACAGCUGCUGCUUUCCAGCAGAAAGCACUCCUAUUGUUGUCCUUGUUGAUAAUUACAGGUCAGUCGCAUUUUCUCAACCACCAAUAAUUGCUUCAUCUGUUGGAGCCCUUCUGAUAUGAGAACCCAGAUACCAGACAAAUAUGGAUGAAAUAAUAGUCCCUGUUGGGCAAAACUGUUGGCAGUAGAGCUUUCAAUAGUAAAAUUUUUUGAAAUAAAAUUUUUAUAAAAAAUUAUUUACUAUUUGAUAACUACAUUUCUAAAAAUGCUGUGAAACUCUAAUAUAUAUUUGAUAAACAAAUUUAAAAAAAACUUUUGGCAUUGGACAUUACAUAAUAUCAUACAACAUAGUAUAAUAAAAUAUAAUAUAUAUUAAUAUAUAAAUAUAUAGUAUAGUAGAAUAUUACUGUAAUGUAAUAUAAUAUUGUAUACUAUAGCAUAAUAAUAUAACAUAAUUUGGUAUUAUAUAACAUAAUAUAUCAAUGUAUUAUGAUAUAAUGUAAUAUAAUAUUAUAUUUAUAAUAUAAUACAAUAAUAGAAAUAUAAAAAAUUAUAAUAAUUAUUAUUAUAUAUUAAUAUUAUAUUUUUUGUAAUUGUUGUUGGCAGUAAAGCUUUUAAAAAUAAAAUUUUUAUAAAAAAAUAUUUACUAUUCGAUAACUAUAUUUCUAAAAUACUAUAAAACUUUAAUGUAUAUUUGUAACCAAAAUAAAAAAUACUUUUGGUAUGAUGAAAUGACAAUAAAGUAUAUUGCAUAGUAUUGCAUAGUAAAGUAUAAUACAAUAUAAUAUUACAUAUUAUUUCAUAUUAAAAUAUUAUUAUUUUGUAUAAAAUUAUUAUAAUAUAGUACAAUAUAAUAUUGGGUACUAUAGCAUAAUAAUACAGCAUAAUAUGAUAUGAUAUAAUAUAAUAAUAUAUUAUUAACAAUAUUACUAUAAUGUAAUAUAAUAUAAUAUAAUAUAAUAAUAUUGUAAUGUAAUAUAACAAUAUCAUAUAAUAUAACAAAUUAGAAUCCAAUCUAAUAAUAGAUUAUAUUAUAUUAUAGGAUAAUAAUAAUAUAUCAUGAUUAUAAUAUAAUCAUGUAAUAGAAUAUAAUAUAAUGUAAUAUAAUCUAUUAUAUUAUCUUAUUAAUUAUUAAUAGUAUAAUAUAGUAUUAUUAUAUAAGAAUAUAUUAUAUUAUAAUUACAUAUUACUACAAUAAUGUAAUAUAUUAUGCUAUCAUAAUGUAAUGUAAUAUAAUAUACUAUUUUAUUAAUUUAUUAUUAUAUUAUAUUACAUUAUAUUUAUAGUAUGAUAAUAUAUUAUAUAUAAUAUGAUAUAAUAUAAGUAUAAUCGUAGGAUUUAUUGGUGGGCAUUUUGAUCAUCAGAAAAAAAAAUAUUAAAAUCAAAAUAGCUUCCUAACAUUGGGAUAUCCGGUCCAUAAAUAGAUCUGUCACCUGGGAAUUGGUCAUUAUCCCCCUUCGGCCUGUGGCCUCGUCUCCCUCGGAGGGAUUUACUUAUUCGCACAAAAAAUACUUUUGAAAAAAAGCCCCAAAAUAGAGUUUUUUUUCUAAAUAGACGUUUUUAGUUUUCUGACAAAGCCAAAACAACUUUAUAAUUUUUACCAAAUACCACUGUAUCCUCUAAAAAUAUUUUUAGAGGGCCAGAAAGUGCUUUCUAACCCACCAAAAAAAAAUUUGCCAAAUGGAGCCUAAGAAACAUAGAAAAGUAAUACCCAGAUAAGCAAUGAGAAUCCACCAAAUCCUUGCUAAUCUCCUCAAGUUGUGCUCAAUCUCAUAAUAAGAGAGAGAGAGAGAGAGAGAGAGAGAGAGAGAGAUCUCAGAACUCGUUGAGAAAAUUAAAUCUCACAUACUAGCUAUAGUUCCUCUAUGAAGCCACAUCCUCCUUAUUUGAGAGCAAACUUGAAUCGAACUAGUUCAACAUACAAACUACCAGAUAUUCUAUCGCACUAAAUAUCAGACAAAUACAUUGUUCCCAAUCUCUGAACACAAACUUGAGAACGCAUGUCAAGCUACUACCCAAAUUGAAUUGAUUUGCAGGUGAACAAAUUUUUGGCAUUUGGGCACUUUAUGUCUCUAUUGUAACUUAGCUGUGAUACUGCUUUUCAGAACAUGAAAACUAUAAAAGCAGAGGGAUCCAGGUUAGAUUUGUGACGCACUUUGAUAUACUCCAUAGCAAAACUGACCAAAAAUCUCUGCAGAAGCUGAUUAUGGUGCAUCACUCAUGAAGGGUGGUGUUGUGGAGCCAACCACAGUUUCACUUUUUUGUCAGCACCAGCUGUGGCUAAAACCAUAGUGGGUCCACCACCUGCAAAAGUUGGCAGGAAACAGUGAUAUAAGCAAUCCAGUGUACCAAUAAGUAAACGUGGUUAGACCUAUUAAAUGCUACUGUAUAUAACAGCGGUCUGGUGGUAAAUACUACAACACUCUCGUAACUAGGCAAAGUUUAUUCAUGAUGUAUCUUUGGUUGUAUCUGGGGUGCUCAUCAAGAGGAACCAAGUUGGACAAACUAAUCUGACCUUGGGUUCUGUCACAUUUUGGAGCUACUGAUUCAAGAAAUACUUGAGCAAUUAAAUCAAGUGGCCAGGUUUAUGGGUUGUCAACAUCAAUUUGAUCUAACAAUGACAAGCCAAUAGCCUGAGUUAUGAGCUGUCAAGAUUCACUCAAACCAACAACUGCAUGCUACAGCCUGUUUAAGUGCACAAAGAAAACCAUAAGAUUUUACAGAAUAUGGGCUUUCGGAUGUUUUCCUAAACCAUAGGGUAAAUAAUUCCUAAUUGGCUUUUCGGAUAUCUAGUCAUAGCCCAGAAAAAAAAUAGUAAUUCUGCAGUUCCAUAAGAAUUAAAGAAAAAACCGGUGGGUCCCAAUUUUCCCCCACAACUUGUAUGCACAAGUCCACAAUGCCCAUGGCCUCUUCUUCAAGAUCUCUUCCAAGUUCUACCACACUUUCCACCUUUUCUGUUCCUUCUGAAGCCCUGCCACGCUUUGCUGAUACAGAAGUUUACAAUUCCAAAUGCAAGCAAUUGGAAUUGCAAGCAGCUAAUGAAGCUACUUGGUUGCUUGCAAUUCAAUUGCAAAAAAAAGGGCCCAAAAAGUUGCAUUUAGUACUGUAGGUUAAAAACAACCACAAUAACAGUUGACUCAGGUUGCAAAUCCUAUCCCACCUAUCUUGUAUCCUCACAGCCUCUCACUAGCUUAAUUUAAACUAUAAUUUAAUAUAUGUAACUAUAUAAAAUGAUUUUAUAACAAUCUAUUACAUCAACAACUAUUUUUAUAAUAUCAUAACAAUCAUUUAACAAUAAGAUUACAAUUUUUAUUAUAAUUAUCACAAUAAUAGGACUUAUGAUAUUAUAACAUUUCUAUUUUAAUCAUAAAAAUAAUAUUAUUAUUUUUUACUUUAAAAGGAUCACAAUAUAAUGAUUUUUAGAAUAACAUGAUUAUUGCUACAGUUAUUUAUAUUAAUAAUAAUAAUAUUUUUAUAAUAUUGUAACCUUUUAGUAAUGUUUUAUAUUUUAUCUCUACUAUCAAAUAUGAUUAUAAUCAUUUAAUAAUAUAUAAUAUACUAAUAUAAUAUGUAUUAGAAUUCAUUAUUAUAUACAUUAUAAUAAUGCAAUUAUUGUUAUCGUACUUUACUAUUAUAUAAUUACUACAACUACAAUCAUAUAAUUUAAUUAAAUAUUUCAUAAAUAUCAUAACAAUAGUUUAACAAUAAGAUUACAAAUUUUAUUAUAAUUAUCACAAUAAUAGGACUUAUGAUAUUAUAAGAUUUUUAUUUUGAAUUAUAAAAAUAAUAAUAAUAUUUUUACAUUAAAAUGAUCGCUAUAUAAUGAUUUUUAGAAUAACAUGAUUAUUGUUACAGUUAUUUAUAUUAGUAAUAAUAAAAUUUCUAUAAUAUUGUAAUUUUGUCGUAAUAUUUAAUAUUUUAAUAUCUAUUAUCAAAUAUGAUUAUAAUCAUUUAAUAAUAUAUAAUAUACUAAUAUAAUAUGUAUUGUAUUUAAUUAUUAUAUAAUAAUAUAAUUGUCGUCAUUAUAAUAAUGCAAUUAUUGUUAUUAUACUUUUACUAUUAUAUGAUUACUAUAACUACAAAACAAUUAUACAAACAAACAAUAUCAUAUAAUUUAAUUAAAUAUUUCAUAAGAUAUUUUGUAUAAUUUAUUGUCAUAUUUUAUAUAAUAGUUGAAAUAUUAUUAUAUACUGCUACAUAACAAUAUCUUAAGAACUUACUCAUUAAUUUCAAUAUAUUAUUAUAUUUAUUAUACACCAUUGCCAUGUAAUAAAUAAUGAUAUUAUAAUUAUUAAUUUAUAUUUAAUAUUAUUAUACUAUAUAUUUUUUGAGAAAAAUUAUAUAUUAUAUAACAUUAGAAGAAGCUAAUAGAUGGCCAUCUAUUAUUCAAACAUAACAAUGAAAAAAGAAAGUAGUUCACCACUUUUGAAGGGGUAAACUUAUCUGAUUAUUUGCGAGGUUACUACACCUCUUUUUGCACCAUACUACCAAAUAGCUGUAAGAAGCAUUUGAAAUUGCUAAUCAUGACAACCGAACAUAUUUUUUGCAUUUGCAUUUCUAAUUGUAGCAAUUCCAAUUGCAAUUGCAUUUUCUAUUGCAACAAUUGGAAUUGUAGGCAACCAAAUGGCCUCUAAACACACCGCCCUAGCUGCCCCUCCAUCAAUACGGUAUAAAUGUAUACAUGCAUACAUAUCUAUGGAUACAUGCGUACGUAUGGAUGCAUAUACAUACAUAUAUAUACAUAUAUAUAUAUAUAUAUAAUUUUAUAUACAUAAAUAUGUGUAUAUGUACCUGUAGAGAGAUAUAUAUAUAUAAGUAUAUAUAUAUAUAUAUAUGUAUGUAUAUAUAUAUAUAUAUAUAUAUAUAUAUNNNNNNNNNNNNNNNNNNNNNNNNNNNNNNNNNNNNNNNNNNNNNNNNNNNNNNNNNNNNNNNNNNNNNNNNNNNNNNNNNNNNNNNNNNNNNNNNNNNNNNNNNNNNNNNNNNNNNNNNNNNNNNNNNNNNNNNNNNNNNNNNNNNNNNNNNNNNNNNNNNNNNNNNNNNNNNNNNNNNNNNNNNNNNNNNNNNNNNNNNNNNNNNNNNNNNNNNNNNNNNNNNNNNNNNNNNNNNNNNNNNNNNNNNNNNNNNNNNNNNNNNNNNNNNNNNNNNNNNNNNNNNNNNNNNNNNNNNNNNNNNNNNNNNNNNNNNNNNNNNNNNNNNNNNNNNNNNNNNNNNNNNNNNAUAUAUGUACGUAUGUAUGUAUAUAAGGGGCAGUAAGGAUAGGAUAGCUUGGAUCAAGUGCAAAGACCACCAAUGGGAACAAGUGGAUUUAUGUAGAAAAUGGUGACUUGAAUAAAAUAUGGGAGGGGAUGCAGGGUGGAAGGCCAAGUGGAUCUUGCCCUGAAGGCCUUCCAGUAAAGAUGCUUGGAUGAGGUCGGAGAAGAUAAAGGUAGCAAUCUUAUAAAAACCAGAGGCUUGUUAACUAAAAGAUGGUGACUGUCUGCCCCUCCAUCAGGAAUUCUCUGUCAGUUCUGUAUCUCUGUGCUGAAUUAAGGUUUGAGGUGGGGUUAGGAGUGGACAUAAGGAGCAGCAAGGACUUGAUAGCAUGGAUCAAGUGCAAAGGCCAUCAAUGGGAACAAGUAGAAUUCUGUAGAAAAUGGUAGUUUGAAUAAAACAGGCGAGAGAAUGCAGGGCUGAAGGACAAAGUGGAUCUUGCACUGAAGGCCUUCCAAUAAAGAUUCCUAGAUGAGGUGGAAGAAGACAAAGGUAGCAAUCCUAAGAAAGACAGAGGCUUCUUAACUGAUAGAUGGUGGCUGUGCUGAAGGGGGACCUCAUUGGAGAUCCAAUGUUUAUGAAGCAUGAGCUAAGUUUCAGAUUGCUCCUAAGGCAUAGAAGAAGUGAUCCAUGCACCAUUUCAAGGAACAAAGAGAUGAUGGCAGGAUUGCUAAUGUCUAAACUUUCUUUUCGUGCUUGUUUGAAAUCAAGCUUGUCCUAAUGUUUUAAUCAUCCAGCGAGGCAUUACCCACAUAUCCAUCAGUAAAAUAGAGUUCCUUUACUCAGCUUAAAUGAUUUUUUUACUCUUUAAAUGUAUGCUUUCUUAACUCUAUGAUCCAUAUGAUGAAAAUUAGGUUAACUUUGAAGAAUAUUUACACAUGCACAUCAACAGGCUUCUAAUUGCUACUCUUGAUCAUAGUAAAUUUUCUGCGAACAAUUCACAAGAAUUAGCCAAACAGAAAACUAAGCAACGCCAAGUAAAUUUUAGGAUUCUUUAGUAGCAUCACUUCAAUCCCUUGGUUAAUCCUCUAGUAAUUUCCACCAUGCACCCAGGCAAGCCAUAAAGCAAUCAUAUAUCUAAAGGCAGAUAGAAAGCACCAGAGUCUUGAGAAGUUGCAGAAGUUGUAAAGAAAUCUGAAGAUUCUUACCCAUAGGAAUCAAUUGAGGAGCCCAAGCAAUGCCUGUGAUGUCACCUGCAUGAUGCGGUAAUCAACAUGAUAAGAAAGCAGGACAACAAAAUAACUCUUUAACAUGUCCUUCGAGCUAAUCAUCAUGCUCCAAGAGGUGGGAUACACACUAAAUUUGCAACAAAUGAGCCCAUCUACAUAUAAUUAUGAAUUAGAACUUAAUAUGGCCAUACCUUACAAAGGAAGGAGAUUAGCUAGCUCAUAUCAUAUGCAUUAUUAAGGAACAUUUGGAUUUUGGACCAUUCUGAAACUACGUGAUUCUCUUACAUGCUAAUGCAAGAUGCCUUACCUAAUAAAUAGAUAUAAUAAAAAGGGGUAAAGCGCAUAAAGAAGAGAUUAUAAAAAGAAUAAUCAACCCUUUUCGAUGUACUUCUAUGUUAGUUGUCAAAGGAUUCUGUGAUUGAAUGCCACGUUUCUUGAAGACCUUGCUCCUUUAUCUGCUCUUUUGUAUUCUCCAUGCGGUCUUAUUCUUCUACUUGGGCAUCCAAAUACCAUUUCUUUCAUUCAUCGUCCACUCUCUCUAUGACAAUUCGGACAAUGAGGAUGAAAAUGGGGAUUGGCUUGUCCAUCUCCUAUAGGUCGAACGAGCGCCCCAUCCUCUUCAAGAGAGAGUAAAGAGAGAGGUUUUAAAGCAAGGUUUGUUGUAUCGACCAUACUGUACUGUACCGGUACCGAACCGUUGUACGAUAUAGGGAAUGUACUGAUAUUUGGUAUGCCAAACCAAAUACCAUAUCGGGCGUACUGACUCUGCAUUAGGAUAGUACCAGUACGAGAUCUAGUACCGAGGUGGUGAACCUUGUUUCAAAGUGUUGAUGCUCGUGAGCUUGCCAAAGUCCACUAGUCAACAAGGCACAUGCCAUGCUGGCAAACAUGCCACAUCAUGGUGAAAUAUAAAAAAGAAAAAAAAUAGAUUUUUAAUUAACAGUGUUUAAUAAUAAAUUAGUAGGUGUUGUGCUAACCAGCGUUGGGUGCUGGUAUUGGCCCUUGCAUUGUCCAUGCUGGCCAGCAUGGACCAGCACUUGAACUUGAAACCAUGAUAUGAAGCAACUAAAUAUUAGCAAUAUCAUGUCUAAACCAUUCAGUUAAAGCAUCUUCAUAAUACAAUAAAAGAAAGGUCCAACAGAUGGCAUCCUUGCACGUGUGUAUGUGUAUGUAUUUCCUGUUUCUUCUGUUUAUAUUAUUUCUACAUGCCUUCAUUAGAGACAACCAACUUCUAGCAUUACACCUGACACAAUACAGCAUCAUUUGAUUAUUUUUGGUUGAAUUACAUAGGCAAAUACAUGAUAAUUAAACCUCAUAAAUCAAAACCAACAACAUGAACAAGAUUAGAUGAACAGAACAAUUAGGUAUAUGUCACAAUUUCAUAGUGGCACAUGGAACAAAUGCAAGAGAGGUCACCACCAAAUUUGUCGAUCACCACACUUAGGCUUCAAAAGUCCCAUGCAUGAACAAAACUAACCCUGUGUACCAAUAGAUAACCAUAAACCAUAUGAUUUUGCAUGCUGUCUAGGUAUGAAAGCCAAGGUUGAUGUUUUCCAAUGCCAGAUACAUUCUAAUUCAUCCAAAAGUAUAAUUUAAUACAGAUCUUCUAUUUUGUGUUCUUUUGAGCUAUACUUAGGAGUAGUUGUCACUAGAUCAUAAAGGUUCAAAGACCUCUAAAGCGCAACUAGUAAGGCUUGGUCAAACUCAUGAUAUGUGGCAGAAGGCUGUUGGCUGAGCAAAAAGCUAACUACUAACACAUAACAUUAUCUAAAUCAUGGAUAUCCAACAUAGUUGUUCUAAAGAACCCUACAAGUACCCACUACAUUCCAUCUUGCUAUGCUCUUUCAUUCCCCUCUCAAACCUCUUUGCCAUGACUUCCUAACCUCGACCAUCAUGGAAAGCAUCCAUUGCCUUAGACAUGACUAUCAUUUCCCCCCAUCACCACUAACCAUAUGAUCUAGUCAAAUUUAUCACAUUUAGCAAAAAAAGGAAAAAGGAAAAAGAAAGAAAAGAAAAUAUAUCAAGGGACAGCAAGAGUGUAAAAAUAUAGCCAAAUCAAGAAAUAUCCUGACCAGGCCUAGCAUGGUAACAAAACCUAACAAGGAAUCAGCUUUCCAAUUACAGGCUAUUCUUUUUGCUAUUGUUCUUUCUAUUUAACAAGGACCUCAACAAUUAGCAAAGCACAAUCAGUGAACCUCACACUAAGGCCAAUAUUACAGGUACCAUAUCAGUCAAUUUAAAAUAGAUAUCAACAAUUAAAAUUCAAAAAAAAAAGUCAGAGAAUGACUAAGCCACAAGAGAGUAAGGGCAUAUAAACUUCACGAACCUUCAUGUGCUUUAUCAGCUGUAUCCAAAACCCUCCCUGUUUCAGCACAUAACCAUUGCAAUGUUGAGCCACUAGUGACUGCCAGAAUUUUUCCACUGGGAGAGAUGCUAAUGCGGUCAUAGUGUGAAACAGAGCCUUUGGCAUCAUGAAGUGGAAUUGCAAACACUUUUAGGGUCUUCGGGUCCUCAUCAAGAUGAUAUCGAACUAAAGAGAUAGAACAAUCAGAAGCAAGGAGCAACAAAGUUAGAAAAACAGAAGUGUCUGCGUGAUCAUCAUUAAUGGUCAAGAUAAAUCAUAUGCAUAGUAUAUGAAAUGGGCUGCUGUUCUCAAUAGGAAAUGAUGCUUACAUAAUAUGAACAGGUUAUUGGAAAAGUCGAGAAUUCCAUUACCAUAAACAUCCAGCCUUUUCCAACUAUUUGGGUUGGCCUUAAAUAUCCGCAUUUACCAAUUAUUAGGAAUGAAAAUAUAAUCAAUAUAAGAAAGCAUACAAGUUAAGGUUGCAGGGAAAUUAUAUUAAGGCUUUAUCAUGAUACAGAGGACUCCAAUUACUCAACAAUCAAAGACAAAAAUUCAGUCUAAGUAGCUUCCUUGGUCUAUCAUACAGUAAUUUGUCGAUGUUGAACUAAAGAUAAAUAGACAUAUUAAAAUUUGAAAUUGUUGUUAAGAAAGUUCACAAUAUAAUCCAUAAAACAAAAUAUUGUUAAAAUAGCAACCAUUAUAACAAGUACAAAGGCCCCUCAUUACAUUUAAUGUAUGAAACAGCUAUUCAAAUUAUGGCUGUUAUUGAGCUGUUAUCCUAUUUUAAUUGUUGUCAUAUAGCAGGAAAAAUAGUCAUUAUUUGACAUUUUCACUGUCUGUCUGAUUAGAAAAUAUUUUAUUUUAAUUCAUAUUUCCAUGUUGGCAUGUCACCGCAAAAGUAAUAUUUUAUUCUAUGAUCAGUGACAUGAACAAAUAAUGCUGUUAUUUUGCAGCAGUUGCCCGUUAUCUCCCACUACAAUGGCUAAUAACAGCCAUAUUAUUUUAUUUUCAAAAAUUCCAGUCAAGGAUUGACUGAGCUAACAGUUGCUAUUUACAUUAUGACAUAGAAUUCAUGUUGAGGGAUAGCAGCAUGGUUCGCCAUACCAGCCAAUAUCGGACAGUUUGGCACGUACUGUAUCGGACAAUUCGGCACAUACCGCACCGUACUGGUUCGGUACCGGUAUCCAGUAUAGAUGGCGUAUCGACACUCGAUAUGCCGAAAAAAUUUCAUAUCAUACCGUACCGUACUGACAUGGUGCUAGUGUGGCACCAGUACAGGGUUCGGUAUUGAGACGGCAAACCUUGGAUAGCAGCAAUAUUGAAACCUUGGAAUGAAAAGCAUUCAAAUAUAGCAACUGCAAAUAUUCAAUGUUAUAGUAAUAUGAACAAAUUGGUAUUUGAUCUAGAUCAGCUAACUGAAGUGCAAAAGCUAUUUCAACUUUUGAGAUAGCAAAGGCAGUGAAAAGAUAAAGCUAAUAGAGCAGCAUUGCAAUCGCAAUCUAUUUCCUACAGUGCUCAAGUAAAGCAUUCAGUUAUCUUAUUUGAACAUACCAUUGAUAUUCCAUAUUCGUAAGGAACCAUCUUUUGAUGCCGUAAUUAUCUGCUCUGAAUUUGGAGUGAAACACAACCAAGUUACCGCGCUCUGAGAACAAAUCAAUGUCAUUUUAACAUGUAUCUUUUUAGUACUUUCUAGUAUCAAUCUGACUAAAAGGACCAAAUAAUGAAAAUUACAUAAAACAGUUGACAAAGAUAAACCAACAAAAUAACAGCCGCAAAAACACCAACAGUCACAAAUUGAACAUUGAAGAAAAUAAUGAAACUAACACGAGGUACCAAAGUGAAAUUAAACCUUUUAAGCCAAAAUAAAGUACAAAGCCAAGUUCCUAAGCAAGCUAUACCAGGAAAAAAAAGAUAUAAGAUCUUACGAAUCUUCAUUUUAGCUUUUGUAGUUAACCCUACUCAAAUUCAGAUAUGUUAUCAACUUACAGCAACUCAAAUUCUUGUUCCUCUACAUAAACCAUCACUACCAGACUAUAUUAGAGAUCUCAGUUCCAUGCAUUUAAUUCUACAUAUUCAACACAAAAUCUACAAGGGAAUCCAUCUUCCUUUUCAAAACUUCAAUGGAGUAAGGGCAAGACCAUAAUCAGCUCUCUUGUAUCAGCAAUGACUACCGACUUCACUUUAAAAAAAAUCAGAAAAAAAGGUUAAAUCCCCAAUUUUGUUUUAAAACAAGGGCUCUGCCCCCUAUUACAGCAUUGCAAAGGAGAGGAGGCUUCGAAAGCUCUCUCUCCCUCCCUCCAUCUCUCUCUCUUUCUCUUUGCUGCCCUCUCCCUCUCUCUCUCUUUUCCUCUCUCCUUUCCCUCUCCACCUCCCUUACCAGUUUCUCAAACUUAGGGGCAGAACCAUGUCGAUCCACCCCUAGUAUAGCUUGGUACGCCAAAAUCGGGCAAUUUGAGGCAGUAAAACCUUCCUUUAUAGUCUUCCUGCUCUAGAGAUUAGUUAAUUGGAAACGAGUUUCCUAAUCAAUUUAGAUUAUUCUAGAAAAUUUGUUCGGGAAAUAGAUUCACAUUCAUCUAAGAAAUGAAUCUGGAGACUCCAGCAUUCACACAGAGGAAGAGGAAACCGCUCCUUCCUACUGUAACCAUCGACCAUCCAUUGUUGUCAUUAAGGUCUGGAAUCUCAGUAAUGGACCAUUUACCGAUGCCCAAUCAUUACACCCGUAACCAAGUGUUGGUACAAUACAUACCGCGGUACCAACACUCUAUACAAGGGUCAUACCACUUUUACUACCCUACCAGUAUAGUACAAUAUGCUCUACACCAGGUGGUUGCAUCGUGUUUAUAAAUACCAAUACCAAUUAAUCAUUGUCCCAAAAUGGUAUGGCACUGGUAUGGUAUUUAUAUGGUCGGUGCCUACCAAGACCCUCAGAAUCAACAAAAAUGCAAAUCAACCGGUACAAAAUUGAUACAGCUUGUCAAUAUCGAUCCAUACAAACUAAUAUAGUUGGUACAUACCUAUCUAGUCGAUUUCAAUGUCCCAAGGGUGGUACUAGUGCCAAGUUCCAUCCAUCAUUGUUCAUGCAGAGAGAGAGAUGGGGAGUGACAAUAGAUGGGAUAAAAGAGGGUAAGGAUGGGGGAGUAGUUGUUGCGCCACCCUCCACUACCCAAAGUUGCAGCCAAUCACUACCAACACCCCUAUAUGUCUGUCUGCCAAUCGCCAUUAUUUAAACCCUAAAGGGAAAGGGAAAAGCAUGAGGCCUUCACUAUUAUGUGACUUAUAAUAUUAUACAUAUUCUAAUUUAAGAAUUAUAAGAUUUCCAUGCACCUCUUUAGUUUCAUCAUAUAAAGAAAAGGCAUUUCUAUUAGAAAAGAGGAGUCUAUUUAUCAACACUCACAUUGGGCAUAUAUCCAUUUUUUUUUCAAAUUAAGCUCCUUGAUUGAGCAAGUGAGAACCUAUUGCUUAGAAACUUCUUUCUAUACUUUUUCCAUAGUUUUGUUGCUUAUCUUACUAUAUAGUUUCCAAUUUCUAGCAUUAAGAACCUUUUUCAUAUAUGAUUUCCCAUAUCCCGCACUCAUGGUGAUUCCUAAACUCAUAUCCCUUGCUGGCAACGACACUCUUGAGAGAGAAUGGGGAAGAAAUAGAAUAAGCAUGCAAAAUAAGACUAGCAAUCCAGGUGAAAUCGAAUGUUUACAAAAGCAUUAGUACCAUCCACGUCUGAAACUUUCCUUUCUAGUGGAACAAUUACAAGCCUCAUGGUGGACAUUCAUCACCAACAAUAUCUUUUAACAUGUGACAGUUACACAAUCUUUGAUUAGCACUAAAAAUAUCUUCUUUCGCCAAUUGCAAAUGACCAUAAUGAUAAUAAAGAUAGUAGCAUUGUCCAUCCAUAGAUUGUAUUCGAUUGGCAUAAAUUCAUGCAAUCUUUUUGCAUAACAAAAGAAGGCUAAAUGCAUUCGCAUGUAACACAAUUUUGAGCAAGUUUUACCUUAUGACCCUUAGGCUAAAUGCAUUCGCAUGUAACACAAUUUUGAGCAAGUUUUACCUUAUGACCCUUAAGUUGCAUAACUUUCACAAUCUCCUUCACUGAACCAUCCUUGGAAUAGAUGAUCUCCCAAACCUGAAAGACAAAUGGAGCAAAAAGUUUUAAAAAAAAUUAUUAAUCAGCACUUAGAAGGUUGCUUUGACAAAGUCACAUUUCAAAGCAUCCAAAGAGGAUGUCAUGCAAGACUCCCCUAGAGAAAAAUGACAUUCCAGAAGACUUCCUUAACAAAGGGGAAAAAAAAGUUAGACUAUUGCAUUCUGGAAGGUGAAAACUCAAAAAUGUAUCAACACAAUUAAGAAACAGUACGAUGUCAAAAGGCACAUGAGAACAAAAUUAAGUAACAAGCAUAAUCAGAUCAAUCCUUAAUACUGUGUGUUUCAGCAACAUUAUGUAGUAGUCAACAUGACUAGAAAAUGGAAAAGAUAUUUGGUUUCAUGAUGUCUAUGAGAAAACUGGACAUGCCAAGGUAAUAUAGGGUUGCAAUAAUGAAUCAUUUCAGGUAGAACAUACUUAAUGUUCGCAACAGACAUUAAGAACAUAAAUUUCUAUAGAAUAAAACCAUAUUAGGUGCACUAUAAAUAGAAUAUCCCAUUGAAUCGUGAAGAGUUUAGAUUUUAGAAGCUCCCAUCCAGACGGAGGCAAUAUCUGCAUAUAAAUUCAUAGGCCUGAUAGGCUGAAACAGUAUAUAGCAAAAAAAAAUUGUGGAAUUUGACAUCCCACAAUCUAAGAACCCUCAAGAAUGUUUUGAGCCAAUGAAGAGACAACGAAGCCCAAAAUUACCUAUCAUGGGCCACCACCACAAGCUCCUAGAUAGGUUCCGGGCCACAUGAGCCAUUGCCCAAAGGAUGAGGGAGUUAGGCCCUAUUUGGAAUUGCUCUUGGUAGUAGAAUUUUUCUCAAUAAAGCUUUUGGAAGUAGAUUUUUUUUUUUGGCUAGUAGAGUUUUUAAUAAAAAGUUGUUUGCUAUUUGCUAAGAAAAUGCUUUUAGUAUGAGAAAAUGAUAAUAAAGGAUAUCACAUAGUACUUUUAAUUUUUUAACUCUUUGUACUAGAACUAUUAUUAUAAAAUAUUUUUAAUUUACAAAUUAUAUUACUUUGACUCAUGGUAUGCUGAACCAGCUUGUACCAGCCGGUUCAGCCCGGAUCGGUCCGAUCCCUGACUGGUCCAAUACAGCAGUGAAAAAUAGUUUCAGCCUCUAUGGGGCCGAAACCGAAUAGUACAGAGGGCAUACUGAUGCGAACAGGAUCAGUUCGCACCGGUACAAGCCCGGUACCGCCUUGUAUCGAUGCGAACCGAACCAAUUCACACCAAUACGCCUUCGGGCGCUCUGUGGCAUUUUUCAUGCCAUAGAGUGGCAUUAAAUGCCAUUCUGGCAGCGGCUGUAGCAUUUACUGCCACAGUGCAUUGCGUGCGCUGUUGCCAGUUCGGUACUGGUACCGAACCGGUACCGGUUCGGCGCACGUAGGCUUUUUUCAGCCUUUGAUGGGACAAUCAUCUGACUCUUUCUUCGGCGGGAGAACGCACUUUCUUUCUGUAUCUCUCGCAGAUCUCACGGAUAGAAUCAAACAAUUACUUUGGACAGUAUAAUAUUGAAAUAGUAAUAAUAUUAUAGUAUUAUAGUAUAAUAUUAUAGGAAUACAAUAAUGUUAUACUAUUAAAAUAUGAUUAUUAUGAUAUAAUAACGAUAGUAACAUAGUAUUUUCAUAAUAUUAGUAUAAUAUAAUAUAAUAUUCUAUACUAUAGUAUAAUAAUAUAAUAAUAUACUAUAAUAAUACUAUUAUAUUAUUAGAGUAGUAUAAUAAUAUGAUACAAUGUGAUAUAAUAUAAUAUAAUAAUCUAUUUAAAAAAUAAUAUACUAUUAUAUUAUUAAUAUAAUAUGAUAUGAUAUAACAUAACAUAACAUAAUACAAUGUAUCAAAUAUUAGUCAGUAAUUAUAAUAAAACAUUUUAAUAUAAAGUAUUACAAUUAUUAUUAACAUAUUUAAUAUAUUAUUAAACAAUAUAAUAUUAUUAUAAUAUAUGACAUGAUAUUAUUUUUUAGUAUAAUAAUAUAAUAGUAUUAUAUUAUAAUAUUAUUUUUACGUUAAUAUAAUAUAGUGUAAAUCUAAAAUUUAUAUAUUUUAAUUUAAUCUAAAUAUUAUAAUAAAUAAUGUAAUUAUUUUUGGUUAGAGGUAUUUUAGUCAUACAAACAACUUCUUAAUGGGUUUUAGAAAUAGCUUUUGUAGAGAAGCUCCAAAUUGAAACUUUUGCCAAGUAAAGAUUUUUCAGCUUCUGGGAGGAACAGAAAGUUGUUUUAGGUGUUUUUUACCAAACAACUAUAUAUCGCCUAGAAGCGCUUUUGGCCCCUCCAAAAGCAAACCCAAAAUAGGGCCUUAGACCAUCCUACAUGCCACCUUAAGCUAGAAAUCUAGGGUUGAAUGGUUCUUAGCUAUGAUGCUUCAAGGAUGCGAAGACACAAUAAGAACAGGACAUGACCCUUGAGGAACAACAAGUGAUGCACAAAAUAUUGGGCUCUCCAAAGAAUAAGAAGUGAUACUCAUUUAGUAAGGCUGCACAAGGCCAUAGGGCCUCAAAAUCCAGAGAGCUUGAUGGAAAAGAGGAAAAUCUGAAAGGUUCCUUGCCUAGGAGGUUGGGGACCAUGCAAAUCUCUAAUUUUUUUCCUUGAGCUUCUCUCUCUAUGAAUAUGCCACCAAGGUAAAACCUUUAAGCAACACUUUCUAUAACUUACAAGUAUUACAUUUUUAGACAACUUCCUUACCAUUAACUGUCUAUAUACAAAAACAAUAAUAAUAUAAAAUAAAUCCAAAUUUGAGAAGUCUUAAGGUUCCAUAUGAUAUCAAUCUUUAGCAACACAAUGAAACAUUUUGUUAAAAAAUAAAACAAUGUGCACCAGCAUCCUACAAUAAUUCAGUGCAACUCUUUUAGUAAAAAUCAAUGCAGCAGCAGCACCAUCAUGUACAACUCCACUAUCAUAACUAUUAAAAAAUAAAGAGGUAUAAGGAAAUUCAAAUAUAUGAAGAUGCAUUUUCAUAGCAGCAAAGGUCCAUUAAUCUUAUAGAAGCAGAAGCACCAUAUUGUAAAACUUCCAAAUCAUAACUACUAAAAAGUAUAGAGGUAAAUGGCAAUGAAAAUAUAUGCAUAUACAUUUCUAUAGCAGCAAAGGUAUGCUAAUUCUAUAUACUUUAUAUAUGACACCGCUAGUUCAAUAUAUUCUUUUUCUGAAUUUAAACAAUUUUGGUGAUUCAUGACUGAAAGAGGUCUCAAGUAUUGCUAAUAGGCCCUUUGGUUCAGUAGUCAAGGCACCAAAAUUUCAUGGGGAAGUUGCUUUUGUCUAUUGGUUAAAGUCUGCCUGAACUACUUCCUCUGGCGAUAAAAAAAGUACUUAGAAUUCAUGAAGAUCAGACCCACUUCCUAUAGUAAUGUAAUGUGGCACCACCAAGUCGUUAGGGCCGUACAAAGAAAACCAACCUUCACAUCUGCAGUAAAGGCUGCAGCAGCCAGAAAACGUCCAUUUGGCGAAACAGUAGCCAUGUUGUUUUUCAGCUGAUUCGUGUCAACAGUUCCCAAGUCUUUCCCGCUUUUACCAUGCCAAACUUUAAUAUCAGUCCCUGAAAUAGAAGGUGAUUGGUGAUUGCUAGAAACAAUUGUACAGCAGAAGCCUCUUAAGAGAAUGCUACAGGAAACUUCUCUUAUGACACAAUAAACACCAAAAUAUGCAUAUGUCCUGAAAGAAUUUUAACUCUUGCAGGCAAAGGAAAACAUGGUAAACUGAACUGCUCAUUGCAGAAGAUUCUUCGCAGCAAAUAAUUCAGUGGUUCCCACCAAACAGGUGAUUUUCUGAUGACUAGAGUAAGAAUGAAACUUAUUUGAGCUAUUAGACAAUAAUAAAGAUGCCAAGCAUCAAAAAACUAUAUCUUGCAAGACAGCAGCAAGUCACAUGAAGGACUGAAGAUAGUCGAACCAAGUUCAUUCACCAAAGGAGGCUAUUUGCAUAACUACUGUUUGAUCAAGGGAAGUAAUUUGCUGCACUCAAAUUUAGUGGAGAGAAUGAUGUUAGCCAAUUUUUUUCUUUUUCUCAUGGUCCUGAUUUUCAAAACUAUUAUUAGGACUGGUUGGUCUAGUAACUUGUAAACUCAUCAUUUGACUUUUCAUCAUGUAAAUAUUAAGUUGUCAUCUAAUUCUAAAACUAUCGUGCAACUACUUUAUAAGCAAUUUUUGUGUGAGUUUUAAGCAUGUCAACAGAUAGUUCUUUAGUUUAUGUGAGACUAGGGGUCCUAUUUUGUGUAAAAUGUAUCUAGGAGGUCCUUAGUUUAUUCAUAAAUUUGUUUCAAGAAGUUUCUAUUCACUAUAAGAAAAUUUGUGGUUAAUCUUGGAAUGCUUUCAUAAUCUUAUACUCUAUAUGACACGCUCUGAUGAUAUAUUUGGCUGGCAACAUUUUCUUUUUUAAUGAUCGACUUGGUGGAGGGACUUUGUUUCAAUAUGGCUAUGUAAUUUUUAAGUAACCUGCAAAAUUUAUUUUAUAUCUUAGUUGCACUAUUACAAUUCAAAUGUACCUAUUGGCCAGCUCUGUGCAAUUAGCCAUAAUUGCUUUUAACAUCAAAUUUUCAUUUUGUAUCUUGAAUUCUUUUUUGCUUCAUGGAGAGCCAAGAAUUCUUUUACCCAUGGUACGUCGUCUCGGUACCAGGCCCCACAUCGGUACCACCCUGUCAAUGUAUCAGUACGUCCGGUACGAGAGCCGGUUCAGCGUACCGAGUGUUGGUUUGUCCCUUAUACCAUAUAUCAACACCGAACCAGUAUUGUACAGUAUGCUCUGUAGCGCCCGUACGGUAUACUCUAUACUGCCCAGUUCGAUACGGUAUGAUGUACCGCUUUUACCACAUAUUUAUUGUUUAAGUGAUCUUAUCUAUUUCUCUUCAGGGCAUUUAGGAACUUUUCAUUGUUGUUGCAUUCAAAAUGCCUACCAUCCCCGACUGGAUAUUGCUUGAUAUUGAUAUACCAACAAAGCCUUGGCUAUCCAUCAACCAAGCUACAAAGACUUGACCCAAAAGCUUUUAGCUAGGAAGAAAUGGGUCAAUAUUAUACAUCAAACUUAGCUUCGAUACCUUCUUACCUUACUUCUUAGCAAAAGUUUAAGCCAUUAGGAAAUGUGUCGACAACGUAUAUCAGGCUUAACACUAUAAAUGUCUCCAUAUGACUAAAAUUGCAUUAAUACUAUCAAAUUAGACUCUUGAGCACUACCACAAUCUUCUAAGCUCAAGACACUUAACGCAAGUUCAACUAUUUGGCUAUCUCCAAACUUUCAAUAUUUUGACCUCAAAAAAUCAUGACAGGCAAACAAUUUUGCAUAUAAAAUUUAUAACAAUAGAAAGAUACGUAGACUAGCCAAUAGCCUACCAGUUAAAGUAAACUACCUUCAUGCUACAAUAACAUCAAAGUAAACUACAUUCAUGCUACAAUAACAUCAAAGAAAAAAGUCGUUGUAACAAUUUAGUAGAAGAUUAUAGACACUUUAAACAAAUAUUUUUAUUUGGAAAUAUAGUUGAAAAUUUAAGCAUUACCAAUUGUCAUAAGAUGUUAUUCACUAGGACACUCUAAUUAGAGUGCCAAGUAUCCAAACUCCUAGCUAAUAUAAGCAAGGCACUCUAUUCUUGGAGCAUCAUGCCAUGUCAUCCAAGUGUUCAAGAGUGUUGAAACUCUAAAAUUGGUAAAAUUUAAAGUGUUUAGGGUAACACACAGCAAAUUCAAUGUUCUUUGAUUUCCUCUGUUAUCUUACAAUUCCUCCCAACUUCAUUUAUAUGCAUGUUGUUUACCUUUAUAUUCUACAAGAACUUCUCUAAAUAAGAUAUGUAAGUAUAUAUUCAUAAGCACUUUUUUUCUUUUUUGAGGAGGGGGUUAAGCGAUGUGUUUCUCACUUGCAUACUCUCUUCCAUGUUUUCUCUUUCAAGUCAUCUUAACUACUUUCUUUACUUCUAUAUCAAUGUAUUAAAAAGCAGAAAGCAGUGACAUAGUAGUUGGGGAUUUCAUAGUGGAUAGUGAAUAAUGGGUACUAUAGUAGGCAAGAUUUUAAGUCCCGCUGGGACGGGGGGCAUCUCGACCGUUCCAUCCCAUUCCCGCGAGAAAAUAGGACCCAGACAAGGUCAGGACUCCAAAACCUAUCCAUGUGGGGAGAGAAGAAGAAAGAGAGAAGGAAGGAAAGAUGAAAAAUAGAAAAAAGUGAAAGGAAAGAAGAAGAAGAAAAAGGAUAGAAAGAAAGGGAGAAGAAAAAGAAAGAAAGGAAAGAGAAAGAAAAAGGAAACAAAAAAAGAAAUAAAGGGAUACAAAAAGAAAGAAAAUGGAAAGGAAAGAAAAGAAUGUAGAAGAAAAAGAAAAAAAGGAAGGAAAUAAAGAACAAAAGAAAGAAAGAGAACAAAGAAAGAAUGGAAAGAAGAGGAGAGGCACAGAAGAUAUCUACCCGGAUGCAUGAUCGGGACCACCGCCAGGAUGGGACGAGACAGCAGGACGUCCUAUUCCAUAGAGAAACUAGGACACUCCUGUCCCACGGGAUUUAAAACCUUAAUAGUAGGUGCUACAUAGCUAAAACAGGCUAUUAAGAUUUAUUAAUAUUUUCUUACUAAGUACCAAAAAGUAUUCAUGUUAUUCUGAUGCAAAAAGAAGCAAUGAAAAGAAUCAAGUGAAAAGCUAUAAAACAUCAUCCACAUAGCAUUAUCAUAUCAAGUCAACACACAUAUAAUGCAAAGAAUCAUAAUCUAAUGACAAAUAGCAUUAUCCGCCCAACAUAGUAGUAUCACUCAUAAGAUUAAAGUAUCGAGAAUCACAUAACUUCAACAAUCAAAUAAAUAUGUUAACAGUUAUAUAAAAUCAAUCAUAGAAGAAAGAUAUCCACAACCAUAUAACAUAAUUCAUCGAACAAAUUAUCAUUAUCAAUAGACAAUAAGACUCCAUUAGACUCUAGACAAGAACUCCAAAUGACAAAUUGAUGACCAACAAUUUCAAUAGAAAAUCAUCAUCUGACAGUUCUCGGAGGUCUGCUCCAUGAGCAUCAGAACUAAAGGUGUCCAAGUUUUUUAAAUAGAAACCGGUCUAGCAAACUAUGGAACAAAUCAGCCACUUUGAACCUGUAGCAUAGCAGAUGCUAUAGCCAGUUAUCACCCAAUAUAUUGGGCACUUCAUAUCCAAGCGUCAUAUAGCACUGCUAUGUUGUUUAGCCUGGCCCGAAACUGCUAUAGCAGCCACUGUAGUGCCUAUAGCAGCCAAUUACUAAAACAACAGUUUGUAUGCUCACUUAAUACCUUUUUGACAGUGUUUAGGACAUGGAAGGGUGGCAGCUGCAGAAAUUAGUUAGCACAAGUUACAUACCUCUGUAAUUUGGAGGGGCCUGCAAUAAGGAUUUUAACUCAUAAUGUCACUACAUUUCUAGAAAUACAAAUGUCUAUCCUCAAACUAGCAAAAAGUCCAUUUUGUAUGACAAAUGCUAUGUUAUUUACAUAAAUGAAGUAGAAAGCAAAACUAGUGUCAUGGACCUCAUGGUGGAAAGCUUUGGAGGUGAAAGGUCUAACAUAUAACAGAAAUAACACAGGGUACAUAGACUAGGUGCAAGGAUUGGCACCUAUUAACUUUGACAACAAGAAAUUUCCUCAGAGUACAUCUUUUUGCUAUCACCAAUCUAUGACAGGUGCAAGAAAAAUAGAUGCAAAAUUUGGCAGAUGAAGUAAAAUAGGCAUUAGGGAGUUUGUGUACAUAAACAUGUGCACACAUAGACACUUUAAAACCUAAUUAGCUCAAUCCUGGUUUUUAAAUGAAAGCUCCAAUGGUUUCCCCCUCAUUGAUGCAAAUUUACAGAAGAUACUUUAGAUGCUGAUGUAGGAUAAUCUAAUAGAUACAGUAAUCACAUUCGAGUCCAUUGUUCCCCACCUACACACAUUUCAUUCUCCAUUUCUAUCAAUUUGUCAUUAUCACCAACAUCAAACAUCCACAAAGAUAUACACACCUUCUGAGCAUGAAGCGAUGAUUGUACUCCCAUCCCCGUUUCCAUAUGUUGCACAAACCCCAACCAGGGUCAACACAGAGCUCUUAUCAUGGAUCUUCUGAUGCUCCCAUUUGAUCUCAGGGAGCGGAAGCUUGGCCUGCUGCUUGCUCUCACCAUUAGGCUUGGCAAAUACAUCUCCAUACAUGUAAAGAGAGGCACCAGAGAGGAGCUGAGCUGCCACUACCACAGAUGAAGCCUCCUCAGAGAAGGCAAUCGCCGUCGGGUGUGCCCCUGCCGGCAAGUUUAUCCUCAGUAGCCUGCAUUCAGAACUUCCAAAUGAUUAAAUGCAAAUAAAUUAUAGACGGCUGUAGACAAAGCGGUCAUUACAAAAUCCAUACUUGAAGCUUUUACUGGAAGCAUCAUCGAUCCUGAACACUCUGACAACUCCAUCAGCACAAGCUGCAAUAAAGAUUCAUAAUUUUAAGCAUUAUGAGUCCAAACAACAGAGCACGGCAUUGAAUUAUGGAUAGAUGAGAGAACGAUGAGCUCACCAGUUGCCAAAUUGCGGCCAUUGGAGGAGAAGCAGAGGGCAGUAACCGCAUCCCCAUGGCCCUUUAGCGUGUUAACAUCGAGAGCAUGGUGCUUUUUGUUCUGGUCCUGGAAUUUUUAAUAGAAAGAAAAAAGUUUUAGGUGGUGGAAACGAUCCAGGUGAUCAGGGAAAAGAUGGAAUCUGAGAAACCUUGUUGGUGUGGUGGGAGAGGGAUCUCGGCUGAGACUUUUUGGCGGCGGAGAGGGCGGGCUUCGGGGCCUUAUGGUCGGCGGUGCUCCGAUCGGGGGCGGCGGCCGCGGCGGCUAUCGUGGCGACUUCGGCCCGCUUUCGGCGGAAGUAGUCGGCGAAAAGGAGGAGGGCGAGGACGCCGCCCACGAUGGCGGAGAGGAGGGGCACGGAGGCGGCCGAGAAACCUAGGGACGCCGGAGACGGUGUCGGCAUCUUGCUUCUUCUAUGGAAAAGGGGAGAGAGGAAGAGGAAACGGGAGAUAAGGCUGCAAAUGGGUCGGGUGGACCCAUGACCCGACCCAGCCCCACCCAUUUAGACCUGAUCCAAUCCGAUUUAAAGAGCCCAUUCCGGAUUUGGGUUUACUAAAUUCUAACCUGAUCCAGCCCGUUUGACCCAACCCAACCCGAAUUCGGAAAACCCAUUAGGCCCGUAAGAGCGAUGCAUGGGCCGUGAUCCAUCCACGUGACCCGUUCGUGCACUGCGACCUGUUCCUUCGUAAACCGUGACCUGCUCGCUCUCAAUAACUUUAAAAUCGCAAAUACGAAAGAAAAGUCUAAAAUCCUCCAUUUGUUCUCCAUUGCUAUUGGGCAUCUCUCUCUAUCUCUCUCCCAUUAGAGUGCUCUCUCUCAUCGACAAUCGGCCAUUGCGACUGUGACUACUCCUUCUCCCUCUUGUGCAAACCCGCUCAUGAGUGGCGACGCCACCCCGGUAGUAUGAUGUGGGCCUCGCUGGCAAUGACGAAGAUGAAGACGACGAUGAGGAUGGAGUCUGGCCGGCACACGUCAGGCUCCACGGAGUCUCCUCUGGGGGCUUCUCUAAUCGAUGAUGAGGUGCUCCCCGCCUUCCGAUCCAGUGUUCCUACUCAAGGGUCUCCUCUGGGCCGACGAGCGCCUCCGAUGGCUCAGCAUCUUCAAGUUCAUUUCUAUUGCUCUUGAUGUUCGGUGGAGAGGGGAGGAGAGCUUGGGGAGGGGGAGGAGGGAGUUGGUGUCGAGGUCAUCGGAGAGGAAGCAUAGGAGGCCAAUGAGGGAGAAACCAUAGGGGAGGAGGGAGAGGGGUAGUCGGAAGCAGGCAUAGGUGGCGAGAUUGAGAAGAACAAGGGCGGCGAGGGAGGAGGGGGCCCAGCAUCCGAGGUGGAGUAGAGGAGUAGGGACAAGACAUGAAAGAAAAGUUCAAUAGGUUCGGACUCGAUCGGGACCUGAAUUUUUUGGGUUGGGAUCGGGUUAUACAUGAACCCCAUCUAACCCAAAUGACCCGUUGGUUUAAACUCUCCCUUUCUUUUCUUUUUUCUUUUUUCCCACUUCUUCUUCUUUGCCGAAACAGGGGACCUUCUCCCCACAACUUGCAUCGAACCAAAUCUAUGCUGGAGUCCGUGGUGGCACCCCGGGUCAAAGGACUCACGAUUGCUACCACAGACAACAACCGAUGGCAGCCAACGACCAGCGGCGAGGAAGAAUGAACCAAAAUAGGGACCCUGUUUCGGACGGUUUCUUAGCGAUUCGCCAACCCAAAACUUGUCUAAACAUAGCUAGAGAGAGAGAGGAAGGAGAAAAAGACUUACCUCGGUCCGGCGGUGCUCCUUCCGGCGACAACUCGAGGAAGAUAAUCGGUGGAGAAGCUCGGAAUAGGGGCUCGAUCUCGGUGAACUCGAAGGAGGGAGGAGGAGCUAUGUAAAUCGAUAUUUCCAAACCUUAUCCGGCGGACUCCGGAUCGGGAUAGACUUCCGAUCCCAUCGCGAUCAGGGAGGAUUCCUCACUGCGAUCAAAAGGGAGAAGAAAAAAAGGACUACAGUGGGAGUCUUCCUCCCAUUUUUCCCUAACAUGCGCCGCACGUGAGGUUGGCCCAAACAUGGUUGGGCCGGUCAACUAGACCAGCCCAGUCCACCAGGUCUCAUAGAAUCCCACCUCCAUCGCUAACCCCACUGCUACCCUAGCCUCCUUUAAUGUUCCAGUGGCGACAUCACAUUAUUCUUGCUGCCAUCGGAUUCUAAGCCUGCGAUUGCUCCGCGUUUAUCCCAGUGUCGCUCAUAUACUUGAACCGAAGUUCGGCCAACUGGUUCUCAAAGGUGGGGUCGGCAGUGGGGGAUGCCGAAGUUUCAGCUAGAGCGGAGGAGGACUCGAGGAGUGCGCGAGCUUGAGAUCAAGCUUAAGCAUAUAAAGUUACAGCUUUGGUUAGGGCCAAAUGGGUAAAUAUUCAGGCUAGCCCAAUUAGGUUCUAUGCAGGCUUGGGCCCGACUUUUCUAAAAAUUUUCUGUUUGUAUUUGGAUUGGCCUACUGCUGACAUAGCGGGUCCAGUCCAAUCAAUAACUUCUCCUAUCCCACGUUCUUUAUUUGAAUCAGACGGUUAAACACGCCCGGAAGUUGGCCCACCCCGUCAAAGGGCCAACUAAAUGUUCGGUCUGGAUCCGGGUACCCAGUGCAAUACACCGCAAAGACUCCACCUGAGCGGUGAUAAUGAUGGUGACUCCUGUACCAGCAUCUCACCACGUGAUCUGCGGCAACCAUCCUCGCAUCGCCACCACAGCAUUCACACCCCCAAAUAUCUCCCGAGCGCCUUAAAGCCCGCACUUCCUCCCUACGACCAUUCACCGCUACCCCGCUCUCUCUCUCUCUCUCUUCGAAACCCUAGCUCCCUCGAUCUCCUCCUCUCCCUUGCGUUUCCCCCUGAGAUGCCGCCCCGUGCUGUGAAAAAGGUCGCCGCCAGGAGGCGGGCGAAGACUGCGGCGGUCUCGAAUUCCUCGCCGAGCGUCGUCGAGGACGAGGUGGUUCCGAUGGCGGAGGACCCACCUCCCUCCGCCGAGAAUAAUCUGGAGGCGGAUUCUGCUCCUGCUCUCACUGUAAAGGAGGAGGCGGUGGUGGAGGAAUAUGUCGCUCCACCGGCCGCCGUAGAAGAGGGGAAAGCCCCAAAAUUGGGGGCUCAGGAUGAAUUAGAUGCGGGGAAGGCCCCAGAAGAAGUAGUGAUGGAGAAGAUUGAGGAGGCGGAGGCCGUAGAAGGAGAAACUGUCGAGAGGGUUGAGGUAGAAGUAGCUGUAGAGAAGGUUGUUGAAGAAGUGGCAUUGGGGAAUGUUCAGGAUUCUCCAGGCAAUCAAGUGGAAGCUGGAGAACCUUUGAAAUUUCCCGGAGUUUCGACUGAGGCUAAGGGACCUGAUAAUGAUGGAGAGAACCAGAUGGAUGUAGAGGAAGGUAUGUGGUUGUCUAGCUUUCUCGCCAUCAAAUACAUGCACUUUAAGAUCUUGUUUCUAUUCAUGCAUGUGUGGACUGAAUAAGCCAAUGGAAUCAUUUCACUUAUGCCGGGAUUCUCUUUUAGAAGCAUAUGUUUAGUUCUGCAAAUUUCCUUCUGAACAGACCGUGUCCAUUUUUUUGAACAAGUUAAGGCUGUAAAUGUUAUUAUCAGCUGUGCAGGCUAUGAGCAAAAAGGAAAAUGAGGGAAAUGAAGGAAACUAAGAACUUAACAUAUCACCCACACGUCAUUUGUAUGGAGAAAAAAAUAUGUAAGGCAGGGAAUAAGGAGGUUAUAGUAUAUAUUGUCCUUCCGUCCAACACGGAAACAUCUUUCCAUCCCUCUUCCAUAUUCUUUGUAAUUAUUCAGUAUAAAAGACAAUAAUUUUCAUGGAGGACAUAACCAAAGAGAUAUGGAUGAUUAUGAGACUUGACUUUCCUAAGUUUGUAGAUGACCACUAUGAUCACCAGAACAACUUUUUGCAUACACCAUUACCUUGAUCGACGUUUUUCCCUAUGUCGUCACUUCCAGCUGCAGCUCUCAAACCAUUCCCUCCAUCACUGCUACCAUGAAUUUAUGCAUUGCCUGUGCCCCAUUACUACCAUCAAACUGACAACAUUUAUGUGAUAUAAGACUAUCAUUGCACCUACCUCCAUGUCACCUUCUUUGGUGCCGCCAACAUUGCUAUUGCUACAACCAUCUCGUUUUGGUGGUUUUACACCAAAAUAAUCAAUUCUGGAAACAUGUUUUUCACCAUUUUAAAGUGUAGUAUAUCAUUUUACCGUUUGAUGACAAUUUAAUUCUUGUUUUGUUGAGGGAUUGAAAAAAGUAGGAAUAGCUGUCCCUAACCCUUGACAUCUUCAAGAUCCCUCUAUUUUUAGGCUAAGGAAAAAUUGCAGUUUGAAUGGGAGUUGGUGGGAUUAACUCAAAAGGUAAUGUUUUUUGGUGGGUUUAUGAAAUAACCCAUCACUCUGGAUUUAUACUGCAACCAAACAUUGCCUUAGGUUAUGGCAACCUGCAUAUUCAUAAUUUUAACUUACAUCAGCCAAACUUGUAUAAAAAAUUUUACUUAUCGUUGAAAUUUCUUUCAGAUCCAAAUAUUAUGAAAACUCAUUAACCUCAAAACAAUGCAAUGUUUCCUAAUUUUGAUGAAACAUAAAAAUGACAAAAUAAGCACAUGUCAUCCAUAUACACGAGGCUUGGCUGAAACUCUAAAACUAAAUGUGGUUUCAGAUUGCUUAUUAUUGAAUUUGAGACAUAUGAGUAUUGGUAUUUGAUUAUUGACCGAGGCUUGGAUCUAUUUUGUUUAAAUUGCUGUUUCCUGAAGUUGGCUAGUCUUUGUUGCAAUUUGAUAUUUGUGUCUAAUUUACCAUUAGCUUCAAUUUGCUACUACUAUUCAGAUCUGAAGAGAAGUGGUUGUUCUAGAUAGUCCAUGCUUUGUCAAUUAUCAAGGGCUGACUAGCUGAGUCUUCAACUACCAAGAAUAUGAAUACAUUCCUGAGUUGGAAUUUCUUAGCCACAAUUUUCAAAAAUCUUUCAACCGAGAACUUCAUUCAUGAUACAUUGGAAUAUAAUUUUAUUUAUAGGCUGUCAAGCCAUGCAUAUAUAGCCAUUAACUUCUCUUAAACCAUUGCAAAAUGUUUCCUCAUAAGUUGAUCUAAUACGGCUGAUACUCUUAUAGCAAUCUAGUCCUUGUAUGUUGACCUACUUUUGGGCCUUUAUGAUAGCCAAGCUUGUUAUGAAUUUUGAACCAAAAUGAAUCAGCAAGCAUGUGCAUUGCAUGUGGUUGUACAAACAUAGAAAAAUUUAUGAAUUAUGAAAAUGUGCAUGUUAAUAUUGACUGUUUUAGAAAUUCAGUAAUUUAGUUUAGAUAUUUUUGUUCCAAGUUCACUCUAGAUAUUAAAAUAUCAAAAGUGAUAUGGCAAAUUUUUAUGACCAAAAGAAACGCAGAAUAGUGAUAGGAUGUAGGCCUCACAUGCAUGACACAACAAUAGAGGGACUGGAAGAUUCCACUCGGCCAACUCCUCAAAACCCAUGCUUCCAAUGUUUGAAACCCUAGCUGGGAGAAUUGUAGCUCUUAGGAAAGAACAACAUUCCAAGGAAGGUCUCUCAAAGACCCUUCAAGCCUUAGAACUAGAGGCUUCUUGGAGAAGCUUUUUCCAUCAACACUGCUUGUCCCUUUUCCAAAAAUCCCCACAAAAUAACUAAUAUUACAAAUAUAACAAAGAGAUCAUGACUCAAAAAAAGGGUGGUUGUUGGCGUUGUGCGGAAGCGUGUGGAUCCCUGAUAUCCGCUAACCUAGGGCGUCUCCUAGGGCGUCAGGCCGCGUGGGGAAAGAAGGAAGAAGAGAUGGAGGAUCACAAUCACAAACUAGGGUUUUCGUGGAGAAGAAGAGGAAGAGAAGAGAGAACAUGGGAGAAAGUUUUCUGGCGGCUUCUUUAUUGCUCAAGCAAUAAUCCAAGUGAUCCCUCUAAAACUGAUUACAUCAAGCCUUUAUAUAGGCACCCAAUUUUAGUCUAAUCAUACACCAUCUCAAUCUCCCCCUAAGCCACAUUAGAAAGCACUCAACCCAAGUCCAUGACUUACAUGGUCUCCGCUUUUGAGCCUAAACGUGGCUCAAGAAUGACUUAGACCCUUUGAGACUUAAAAAAUCUUGACUUGGCCCGCUUCACGUCUGAAAAUUCCGUGAAAACAGUGCUCGGGUUGACUCCUGCAGCCCUGGGGUCGACCCCUGAAGCUGCCCAGAAAACAGCUCUCAGAUUUUUUCCUGUCGCUCUUAAGGAGUCGACCCCUGAAGUCCUAGGGUUGACCCUACACUGUGCCAAGUCUUCACAGCAUGCCGGAGUCGACUCCAAGUCUCCCGGAGUCGACUCCAAUACUAUUCACAGCCCAGAAACUUGUUGUUUUUCUUUGGAUGCGCCACACUUGAGCCUACAAUAGUCUAGUGUGCAAGGUUUUUGCCUUUGCAGCCUUUAAAGGGUGAGCCUUGGCGCAAUUAGAAGGUUGCUCCACUGUGACCUGAAAGUCAUGGGUUUGAAACACAGAAACAACCUCUCUAGACAUGGAGCAAGGCUGCGUAUAUCUAACCUUCUCAAAAGGCCGUGACUCAAAAAUUUUUCCUAAAUAAGACUAGACCAGAACUGGAAUACCAAAAUCAUGAAAAAUACCCUUGGACUAGAUAGACGCUCAGAACACGCUAAAACUCUACUGACUCUUACAAUAAUAUUAGCAACUAUUUAUGCAUUUACUAUUACUAUUUUUCAUCAUUCAGUCAUUAUAAUCAUUGUUGGUGCUACUGGCUGAAAUAAGAGGAAGAAAAAAUAAUAUGUUGGUUUCACAAUGUUGUUGUUUGAAAGCAAUGAGGGGCGAUGUUCAGCCAACUGGAAUUUUCGUUCAAAACAUGUUGCACGAGACUCCUCCACUGGUGGGGAUGCGACCCAUGUAAGAAUCCUUGAGUUAAUGGUUGUAUGACCAUGAAAAAUUUGAUAUGGUUUUUUGCUUGGGCCACUGGCCCCAUCUUUCUAGCUUCCAGAAUUAUGUGCUGGUGAGGGAGGUGAUGAUCAAAAUGCUUUGUCCAGCCUCUUUAGUCAUAGGGAUAAAAAAUAAAAUGGACCUUUAGAAACAAAAAAGUCAAAGAUAGUUCAAACGAGUUUGCUAGGAUGGAGUUGGAGAUGGAUAAGUUCAGUUAAAGUUCUUAGAGUAUGCUGAGCAACUAAACAUGAUUUUUCCAUUAUACAUUUCAUCUGCCAUAAUAAUAGCCUUUUAAAGUACUAUCUGAAAAUUAAUGGCAACUCCGGAUGGAAUCAGUAGACCCAUGGACUCAUCUCAUUCCCAUUAUUUUCUAUGUGGCAUGGCAAUGAAUGAAAUGAAUUUAUUAAUAACGUGGUUGUUCAGUCACUUUUUCAAAACAUUGGGGAUCAAAUUUUCCUGUAUAGGAUACGUACGAUUUACUUGGACUGGUCUAGAGAAUAUUAUAUUUACAUGUAAUGCAAAUGAAUAGAACAAAUUAAAUAAAAUAAAAAUUUUAAAUAGUAGAAACUAAAAACAAAUAUAGACAUAUAUCAACAUUUAUGGAUUUUAAUGUGCAAUAUAUAAAAUGUAAUGCAGAAUAUUGAGAAAAUAAUAUGUUCAAAAAUAAAAUAAAACGUACAAAUUAGUAGUACAAAUCAGAAAAUAGAUAUGCAGAAACAAAAUGCAAAUAAAACAUGCUUUGCAUGAAAGAGAACAACAAAAAAAUGCAAAAUAAAGAUAAACAAAAAGUAAAAGUAACUAAAAAUGCAAAACUAAUUCUGUAAAACCAAAAAUAUGCUAUACACAUUAAAUCAGAAAGUACAUAAGUAGACUGAGGGAUGAAAAUUUCUUAUAAAAUUAAUAUAUGAUAGGUAUCCACCACCCUUGACAAAAUGAAAACCUUUUCUUUGAUUAGUAAUAUUUUGUACUUAAUUGCCAUUUUCCUGAUCAAUGCGCUAUUGAAUGAGUGUGAGUUGGUGUGAUGUUGAGAGUUGUGGAAUGCUGUGCUCAAAUAGGAAAGAGAUGAUUAUAUGGAAAAGUAAGUCAAGAGGGGGUCUUAUCAGGGCAUUUCUAUGUGAAUGUGUUGAGAGAGAGGGAGGAGAGGACGAGGAGGAAGGAUCAUAAAAGGAGAUUAGCAAGCAUGGUUGUUAGGAUAAUAGGGGGAAGAGAGAGAAGCAAGUUGUUGUUUGUUUAGGAGCUGAUUGUUUUGAUAAAAAAAUCAAACAAAGAGAAGGGGAGUGGGCAUGCACACAUGAUUUGAGGCAGAGAUAAUUGGAUAGGGGUAAAGACGCAGCCGGGCGCCGGCGGCUUGUUCAAGUGCCCCCCGAACUUUGACCAUCAAGUCGCUCCAAUGCCGUCAAGAAGAAGUCUGUCUCAAGUCAUGCACAAGAACAAAGAGCAUACCAGAAAUUUGUGCUUACUGCUCCCUGAUUCUACCAGAAAUUUUAUAAUAUAGGAACUUGUUAUGAGUAGAUUCAUUGGAUUAGUUCAUCAAUAACCUUAAGUCAGAAUCUUAUUUUCUUUUGACUCUGCACCAUUGAUUCCACUAUGAUUAUUGAUCAAUAAUCAAUAAUGAAAUAAAUUGAUCGAGACCAACUUCAGCCACUAUUGCUAGUGAUAAAGGUCAGAGAGAGGGGAUCUAAUCAUUUUUUGGUUCAUCAUGUGCAUAUCUUUAGAAAAGAGAAGAAGGUUGUGAAGAGGUCCGGGGUUAGGAUGUGGGUGAGAGAUCUUCAGGGCGCCAUAUUACAUGACAUGCAGAUAUUUCUUUCCAAAUUUACUCAUGGUUAGUCAUCAGAUAAUAAAUGAUUUUAUGCGAGCUAAUUUGCACAAAAAGGUUAAAUUUGGCAGACCGAAAGUCCGUUUUUUCUCACUCUUUUAAAUAUAAUAUGGAUGAGUACUGCUGCAUGCAGAAUGAAUAUUAAGGCAACAAAAUUGUUCUGCACAACAACUGAAUUUCAAAGAAUAUCUAGUAUUCUAGGAAGGGUUCUGACAUCAAGCUAAGGAAAAACUGUCAUCUACAAAGUUGCUCAUCUCCAAUUAAAGUCACAAUUGCAUGGCAUAACGUUGGUUUAUGUUGUGGUUUAAAAUUUACUGAAAAUUUAUUAUAUCUUUCAAUAAUGUUUUGGCCUUUUGGUCUGCAUUAUUGUAUGAAUAACUUAAACAGCUAACUCUUUAGCCACAUUUCAUUUUGUAUCCAACGAAUUCCUACAGGGUCAUUAGAAAGGCAUAGUUUUGGUCGAUCAAGAUAUAUAGUAUGAGGAAAGAAAUUAUGCAUGGUUCCAUUUCAUCUUUUAUAGUCAUUGUCUUUUUGAUCCCAAUGUGUUGGACAUGAGUAAAAAUGUUUUAGAAUUGUAGCCUUGCUUAACACUGAAAGCUAUUUCAAAACUAGAUUCAUUUGGCUCCAUUCAGAAAUAGAGAAUGGCACCCGGUGCGCAAGGCUCUUGCCAUUGUACGGUCUAAGGAGGUUCAGUAUAUGCAGCUCUACCUCUCGUGUGUGGAUAGGCUAUUUCUGUGUUUAGAAAAAGAGAGCUUUAAUUUAAUUUUAUCAUUGGAUCAGUUUUGGUGGUCAAUGCAGGAGUUGAAAGUAGUUCAAAGCAGUUGAUUUCUUGAGAUAUGCUGUUUUUGUAAUUCUAGUCUUUCUAUUUAUGUUCGUUGUCUUUUAACACUUAUCUUGAUUGGCAUUUGGGCUUAUGCGGUCCUUGCAAGGUUUUGGCAGGUGAAUGACCAUAGAUAACAUCCUGAACAUAUGUUUGUGCAGAAAAUAGAGAAGUAAACAGUAAAGUUUGUUUUCUGACACCAUUUUCUCAAUAGUAUAUAAAUGCUGUCCCAAGUUUUCAUUGGGCUUUUGGAAUUAGUGUCCUUUGAGUUCCUUUCUCAGCUUUAGGUGUUCAGUUCUUUUUAAAUUUUUUUAACUUCAGACUUUAACAAUCGUAUGCAUUGCUUGCAAGUACUUUAAUGCGGGGAUUGUCAAUUGCAGCAAGAAAUUUUGGAAGUGGGACAUCACACAUGACUUACAUAUUUGAUUUUGUUAAACUUAAAAUCAUCAGUGUAUGUCUUCCCUUCAUGCCAAUCAGGACUAGAAUGUGGAGGGCUUAUCUUAGGCUAUCAUUUGUAGAUCAUUUUAAGAAAUAAUGAGCAUAUAACCUAUGUAAUGCGUGAGGUACAGUUUUUCCCCCUUUUUUCAAUAUUCUUGAAAUACAAUAUAGCGUAAAAAUAUUAUUUCUCAAAGUAUACAAUCUCUUUAGGAGAAAAUAGAUGUAAAAAAUUGAACUUUGAAAAACCUAUUUAGUUAAAAAAUGAUGCAAAUGAAACCAACUAUUAUGACAUUAAAAAAUGUGUAAGAGAUUCAUUUAUCGAAAUAAGAAAUUUAUUUAUUAAGAGAUAAGGUAUUAAGACUUUAUAAACUUUUUAAGAGCAAUUUUUUAUUUUGAUAAAUAUGAUUAGUUCUUACCAAAAGUAGGAAGUUUGAUGAGUGACAAUAGUCAUUUUAGAUAUGUAUAAUAGACUGUCCAAAAAAGAAUCAUCUUAAAUAAGAACCCUACUUAUUAUGGUCCAAAAUCAAGAACCGUAUUAAAUAAGAGCCCUACUUAUUAUCCAAAAUAAAGAACUGUAUUGAUAAUAUUAUUAAUAUGGGCAUUCACAUGGAAAAUGGAGAGCUUAGGACAUGCUGGGCUUCCAUUUUAGUUAUAUAUAAUAGAUAAUGUGUUGUAAGAGAUUCAUUUAAAUUUAUUUAUCAAGAGUAAAGGUAUUUCGAUUAUAUAAACUUAUUAAGAGUAAAAAAAAUUAUGAUAAAUAUGAUCAGUUCUUAUCAAGAGUAAGGAGUUUGAUGAAUAAUUAUAGUCAUUAUAUAUAUAUAUAUGUAUAUAUAUGAUAUACUAUCCAAAAUAAAGAACUAUAUUAACUAAUACUUAUUACCGAAAUAAUGAAACAUAUUGAUAACAUUAUUAAUGCGGUCAAAAAUAAAGAGCUGUAUUAAAUAAGAGUCUACUUAUUAUCCGAAAUGAUAUUAUGAAUAUGAAUGUCCAUGUGAUGGCACAAGCUGAGCAUCUGUUUUAGUUAUUUAUAAUAGAUGUGAAAAGGGAACCAAGCUUUAGGUAGUAAGGACUCAGGAAUUUUGGAAAUUGACCUAAAAUAUAACUAGAAGAAUGGAGAAGUUAUUAAUGAUGAAAAUGAGAAAGCUAACAGGUCAAAUCCUCAUGUGAUCCUUCCAAGCAAGGAGUUAUUGGUAUACAUGCUUGUAGUGCUUCAUUAGAUGUGUUUAAAAACAGAAUUCCUGAGUAACCUUUCUGCGCGUCAUUACGGUUACCUGUUCACUAGUAAUCUGGUCGAAAAAGAUCCAAAAACUAGAACGUUCAGGGGUUUGUAGAGUCGGAUUGGUCUGAUCGUUUCUGAGUUGAGGGUCGCCUGAAAGAACCUUAUCUUGCUUAUCGCGAAAACGACGUCUGUUUCUGCUUCUCCUUUUUAUUAUGAAGUUCAGGCCCUUCACUAGUGAUUGUCUGUGGAUCUUUAAACAUUUCAGGUGCAUAAGGAUAUUGGAUUUUGUCAAGAUUGAAAUAAGAGUAGUUCUUCAUCUAAAAAGGUUGCUUAGGGUACCUGAACUUACUGACAGUGGGUCAUGUCCAAGGGGUUUGUUUUGAGGAUCAGGGUGAUAUGUGAAAUUUCUCCCAUUGGCUUUCAGUCAGAUGUCAACCAUUGAAUUGGUGGCAAGUACUAGGACAAUGCAUAUUGGACAAGAGAGGGGCUAACCAUGAAACUUAAAAGGCAUAUUGGCAGGUUAGACGAAAACAUUAGUGAUUUAAAAGGAUGAUCUGAUGGGUGAAAUUGAGAAACUCUUUGCAAGAGUGGAAGAUGCUUUAGACAAGCAAAAGGGAGGUACAUUGUGAGGCACCUUUUUUCCCGCAAGAUGCUGCAUGAUAAUGUUUGGAAGACAUUCUUGGGAUUUUAAGAUUUUUGUUUACGAGUCCAAAGUUUUGGCUUUCUGGGUUUCCCCUUUUUAUUAUCUUAAAAUUUUUAACAUGUUUCUUAUUUGAAUUGCAAUUUAACUGAUGGAAAGGCAAAUAUAUGGUAUAAAAAGAUAAGGCAUUGGCAGAGUUUCUGUACUAGAUUUUUAGGAUGUAAAUUUGUUUAUGCUCUCUUUCGUUUUUCGUUUUUUGUUUUGAGACUAGGAGGGGCCGAUCGCUGCCUUUUCCUACCCUAUACCUACACCACCCUUAGGGGUCGACUCCAACCAGAAUCGAAUCCCUGCCUUCUUGCCCAAGUGGCAAGUGGUGAUGCCAUCUGAGCAAGCACUCAGUGUUAACUUUUGCUUAUACUUUGGAAAUAAUGCGAGGAAGUUGUAUCACAGAUCUUUUAAUUAUGCAACUAACGCUUACAUUCAAGGCACAAAGCAACUAGGGGGAAUUCUUUUCUACACCUCAUAGUUUAUGAUAUGCAUGAACAGAUAACUGUCAUCCACAUUGUUGUUACCAAAAUGUGUAAUAUUUCACUGUUGUGUAAUGAGAUCAAUUACUAUUUGAAUAAAUCUUGUAUGAGCAUGUGCCUAUCUACUAUGUUGAUUCUGCCUUGUUUAGUUUCUUGUUUGAAUCUAAACCUGUUUGCUGGUGGUGAAGAUUAAACAUUGCUUAUACUGAAAUUUAAUUUCUUCCUUAGGUGCUGAAGUAGUUGAAGGGGAAGCCGUGGAAAGUGAGGUUGAAGGUGUUGAUGAAGAAAGGGAUGUUGGUGCUGGUAAAGAUGAAGGGGCUGAUGGGUUAGAUGACGCUGAUAACAGUGAAAGCUAUGAUGAUGGAGAAGAUAAUGAAGAAGUUGAGGAAGAAGAUCCCUCUUUAUAUAUGCAGGCAGACAAUGAAGAAAUUGAGGAGGAAGAUCCCUCUUUAUAUAUGCAGGACACUAUGACAGAGAGAAAAAAGCAGAAGGAAUUUGAGAUAUUUAUUGGUGGGUUAAAUAAAGAAGCUGUUGAGGAAGAUUUAAUGCAUGUCUUUGGUGUGUUUGGGGAGAUUCAGUCUGUUAGGAUAGUUAGAAAUCUAUCAACACAGAAAAGUAAGGGGUUUGCAUUUAUUCGUUACGCUAGUGUUGAGCAUGCGAAGAAGGCUCUUGCUGAGCUAAAAGAUGGGACAGAGGUUCAGUUUAAGUCUUUAAGGCUUUUAUAAAUAAUUUUGUUUUAUAUGCAGUCAACUUAGUGUACAAACUUUGACUUAUGGAUAUCGUUUUGUUAGGUGAGAGGGAAGCAGGUUGGAAUAUCAGCUAGUCAAUAUAAUGAUACCCUUUACCUGGGAAACAUCUGCAAGACUUGGACAAAAGAUCACGUACAGUAUUUCUUGUUCCCAUUUAUUUGUACCGUUUCACUUUUGCAACUUGUCCAACAUUUUUGGUUUUGAUGUGAAUUCACAUAGCAUUACUGAUUUGUUUAUUAUAGUGUUUUUUUAUUGCAGCGCAUCUACUUAACCAUCAUGCUUAUACUGUCUAAAUGGUGUGCUUCCAGGUGCUUGAGACAUUAAAAGGAUAUGGAAUUGAACAAGUAGAGCACAUACUCUUGCCUGAUGAUCCCAAUAAUGAAGGGAAAAUCAAAGGUUUUGCUUUCCUUGAAUUCAAUUCACAUUCUGAUGCAAUGGCAGCAUUUCAGCGGUUAAAAAAACCAGAUGCUGUAUUUGGCUGUGAUAGGAGUGCUAAAGUUGCUUUUGCACAAACUCCAAUGCAUCCAGCUGAGGAAAUUUUGUUACAGGUAAACAAUCUUUUUUGCUUGUAGGCAUGCAGACUUAUUGCAUUAGUUGUAAGACCAUGUUUUUCUUAGUGUGAAAUUUGGAUCAAUUCUAUCAACUUUUGUUGUUUCUUGGUGCUCCUGUGUAACUUGUACAAGUAGGGCAAGAUGUUUGUAUGAAUUUUGUGACUCGGAACCCUUAUGGUUAUGCACUGGCACAUCUGAAUGCAGAUGUCAUUGGAACCCAUAACAAUAGAGUAUUGUGAGACGUUGUUAUAGUAGAAAGGUUUUCUACUAUUAUCUCUGUAAUGGUAGUUAAAAUACCUACUGAUGGGAAAGGUUUUCUUGUCCUCUAUUUAAUAUAAUACUUGGAAAUAUGCAAGUUAAAUUGUAUAUGACUUGCUCCUGAGGUACCAAGCCAUCUGGAACAUGUAACUCAACAUAUUUUGCAUAUGUUUUAUAAAAUGUUGCUGAUAAGUUUUUUGCUUGAUAAAUAGAUUAUUUAGUCUGUCUGCAGGUUAAAACUGUAUUCAUUGAAAGUAUUCCAGUCUCUUGGGAUGAAGAAAAAAUCAAAGAACUUUGCAAACAAUUUGGUGAGGUAGAGAAAGUACAACUAUUUCGGAAGUUCACAACAAGUAAAAAGAAAGAUUUUGGGUUUAUUGAAUUUACUUCUCGAGAAAGUGCUGUAGCUUGUGUCGAAGGAAUAAACAGUGCUCAACUUGGAGAAGAUGAGGUCAAGGUAAGGUAUUUGAGAUCUCAUCUGAUGUUUCUGUUACUAAUCUUAGUGGAGUAACUUGGGUAUUGCAAGUUUCAGGUCAAAGCUAAUCUUGCUAAGCCUUUGAAUAAGAGAAGGCUUGCUAGGCAGCGUGCUCGAGGUGGAUUUAAGGUUAAGAAGAAUGAAGAAGUUUCUGAAGAGGCUGGCCAAUCUAAGAAGAAAAAACAUUCCAAGUCAAAAGAGGUUCUUGUCAAGGCAAAAACUCAACACAAAUUAAAAAAUGUUGAAGGGAGCAAGUCAUCUAAGUCCCAAGGCAUGGUUGCAAAGGGUAAACAUGGUCCUCAACUAGCACGGCCUGCUAAAGGUAAACGACGUGGUAGGAGGAGCAUGGACAAUGCCAUUAAUGACAGGCCAUCAAAGAAGGCACGUAAAAAUCGCAACUUUGGUAUGGUAAAGCUGGUUAUACUAUGUUGUCAUUUUUUUUUGUGUUUCCAGAUUUGAUAGAUGUGUGCUUAAGGUUAUGUUUGGUGUGUUUGGAGACAUGCAGGUAACUUGCAUGGUAGACCUUCUAAAGGCUUUGGCAACCAAAGGUACAGUUACUCAGGGCUACCGGAAGUAAACCCUGUCGUGCAACCUACCACCUAUGCUCCAAGAUAUGCACAAUCUGCAACUAGAUACCAGGCUUACACUUAUGCUGGACCUUCUGGUUCUAAAGCUCGUCAGUCUGAUCUGGUAAACAUGAACCUACCCCAAGCUCCUCCAGCACACACACACAGACACACCUCUUUCUCAGUUUUCUUCCAGAAUUCUAGGUUAAGCAUGUUGUUGGUUGGCGGUUCUUUUCAGGAACCUCAUGCUGGAUGUAUUCCUGCAGCAAAACCUGUUCAUUAUAGUUAUGGAUAUGAGCAAAGAAGGUAUGCCCUGUUUGUGCUUCCAGCAUAAUAAAUGUUUCACAAUGUCAAUUGCUUAUAUAUGUCUUUUGUUGUGUUUAACUAGGGUUGGUGCUUAUGAUAGCCAAGCAAGGAGUGGUUCUGACUUUGCUGGAGGUAGCAUCUGGCUCCUACGAACACAUCUUUUAAUUUGUAGCCAGUUUUUUUUUUAUGGUUUUAGCUCUUAACCAAUAUUAUACAAAUUUUUUUGAACUCCUGUUCAUCAUCAUCCAACCCUUUUCUAUCAUGGGUUUGGCCAUGGAGCUGAAUGUUUUGUAUGUUUUAUUCUAUUGCAGUAUGUCAUUACCUUUUCGUUGCUAUGUGAUUGUCAUUAGAGUUAAAAUCGGCUGCUUGCUUAGUACAUUAUCAUUAUGUCAAUUCAUCUAUGAUACAUAUAGCUCCUAUUCUGUUAAUUCAUUCGCAUUGUUUUGCAUUGCUAUUGUUUCUACAUAAUUAUGUCACUAACAAAAAGGAAUAUAAAGUUUGUUAUUCUCAUUAUAUUUAUGAUAUUAUGUGAUUACACUUCUAAUCUUUUCUUGUAAAGAUAUUAUUUAUAAAAAAAUGUAUCCUAAUCCAGUGAUUUUUAAUAUAAACCAAAGCAAUAACCAGGAAAUGUUGUCUCAACUGUUUAGGGCCACCUUUAUGAAUCCUUGUUCACUUAGAAUUGCUAUUGAGGGCUGGAUUUUCUCAAAAUGUUCAUUCAUGUUACAUUUGGUGUUUGUCUCCUUUUCCUACAUCCUUCAACAAAGAUUAAAUCUUUUCUCACUAGAGCCCUCUUUAAAUCUCUAUUGUGCAUGUUUAUACCAUGUCAAAUUGAUUCUUCAUCAUUUUGUCCUUAAUUUAUGCAACUCAGACAACUCUAAUAUAUCUAUUUCUAACUGUAUCAUUCUUUGUCUUACCACAUAUCCAUUUCAACGUCCUCUUUUUUUUGUGCUAGAUUUUACUCAAUUUCUUGGACGCUUUUUGUUAUAACAUCUUGCACCAUGUUACAUUGUAGAUGAAUGUCUUGAGCCGUAUGACAUCAUGGAUGUGAAUGCCAUUUGAUAAGUUUUUGCCUCUAAGUUGCCAAGAUAUUAUUGAUUAGAACAUACCAUAGAAGCAUCUUUCCGUGCCAUCCAAGGAGCAUUGAUGCUAUUGCAUGUGUUCAUGUAUCUCUUCAUUAGUUUGUGUAAUAAAUUAUGAAUAACAAAACACUCAAUUCUGUAGCAUCUCUUAAUUUCGAUCUUGAAUUGAGCUUCAUUAUUCUAAGAUUUACUUUGAUAGCUUCAUUAAUAUUUAAUCUUGUCUGUUUUCUGAUCAAUGAAGACUAUAUUUGCUGCAAAUAUGUCACAGUAAUUUUUCAUAGAAAUAAGGGUAAAUUCCUAUAUGUUUUAGUAUAAAAAGAUAAUGCUUUAUGCUUAUCCUUGGUGUAAAGUUAUUGUGAUUGAGAUGUAUUUCUUGUGCCAAAACCAAUUUAAGCACUUGCCCUUACUUGGGUAUACAUGUGAAUAAUUUUAAUGUAUAGCCUAUGUACGUCUUUCCUUCUUAGAUUCACCAAGUUACCUUUCUUGUAACCUUAAAGUAAACCUUUCCAUAUUUUUCUAUUAAUUGCCUAUGAAGGCAGCCAGCAUUGUAAGCUUCUGGCCUUAAACCAAAUUGGUUCUUUGAUGUUGUUAGGGGCAGAUUUAGGGGAUCCAAGAGUCUAGUGGGUCAUGGCUUCCCUGCCUCAUGUGGCUGUCCUACAAAAGGCUCCCUUUUUAGUUGCAAAACCAUCUAAUGGUCCAUGUUUCUUGGUGGGAAAGAAGAUUGCUAUUCCAAGACUCUAGAAUCAUAGUAUCAAUCUUGGGAUGUCUAUGACUCCACAUUGAUUUCCCAUGGUAGCCUACCCGGUUUCCUAUCCAAUCUGGUGCCCAUAUUAGGGUGGGGCUCCUUGUAUCCCAGUUCUAUAAGGAUUAGGAAAUCAUAAACAACAAACCCAACAGCUCUAUGUUUUCUUUGCAAAAUUGCUUGCUUCCUCUCAGUACUGACAAAGGUCUAAGACUCAACUCUCAGUCCUUACGACAAAAAAANAAAAAAAAAAAAAAACAAAGCUCAAGACUACUCUUGGUUAUGAUAAAGUGGAUCAUGUCCAUUGCUUUUUGUCUUUCCCUCGGGGUCACCUUCAUGCAUAAACUCCAAGGGUUUUUUUUCUGAUAAGUUCUUGUUGUUGAUGGAUUGGCUGCUCAAAUCUACAUCAUAAAAUUCCUUUUAUGGUUAUCAACUUGGUGACCUGCUACUCGGGGGAAUAGGUAAAUACAUCCUUAGUUUCUAUUGUUCAUCAU
rnacentral:lncRNA from 1 species